rnacentral:hammerhead_ribozyme from 1 species
AUCUAGCUGACGAGUCCCAAAUAGAACGAAACGCUUGUCAUGGAU